AUACCUGCAGCUCGAGUGGUGACCACUAUUAUUGGGCCUAAAACGUCCGUAGCCGGCUUGGUAAAUGCCUGGGUAAAUCGUAUAGCUUAACUAUACGAAUUCCUGGUAGACUGUCAAGCUUGAGACUGGGAGAAGCUAGAGGUACUCCUGGGGUAGAGGUGAAAUUCUGUAAUCCUAGGGGGACCACCAGUGGCGAAAGCGUCUAGCUAGAACAGGUCUGACGGUGAGGGACGAAGCCCUGGGGCGCGAACCGGAUUAGAUACCCGGGUAGUCCAGGGUGUAAACGCUGCUUGCUUGAUGUUAGUCGGGCUCCGAGCCCGAUUAGUGUCGGAGAGAAGUUGUUAAGCAAGCUGCCUGGGAAGUACGGCCGCAAGGCUGAA
rnacentral:rRNA from 1 species